GUUGGCUGCGGACGUAUCGCUCGCCAACCCGGUCAGAUCCGGAAGGAAGCAGCCGUAACGAGUUUCCGAUGCGGGUCGUUUGUCCAGCCUCCCAC
rnacentral:SRP_RNA from 1 species